UACGUAGGGUGCGAGCGUUAAUCGGAAUUACUGGGCGUAAAGCGUGCGUAGGUGGUUUGUUAAGUCUGUUGUGAAAGCCCCGGGCUCAACCUGGGAAUGGCAAUGGAUACUGGCAGGCUAGAGUGCGGUAGAGGGUAGUGGAAUUCCCGGUGUAGCGGUGAAAUGCGUAGAGAUCGGGAGGAACACCAGUGGCGAAGGCGGCUCUCUGGACAGGUACUGACGCUGAGACGCGAAAGCGUGGGUAGCAAACAGG
rnacentral:rRNA from 1 species